GAUGAACGCUAGCGGGAGGCUUAACACAUGCAAGUCGAGGGGUAUUGUAGCAAUACAUUAGCCCGGCGCACGGGUGAGUACCGCGUAUGCAACCUGCCGUUAACCGGGGGAUAGCCCGUCGAAAGGCGGAUUAAUACCUCAUAAUAUUGGGAUUCUGCAUGGGAUUGCAAUUAAAGCUGAGGCGGUUAACGAUGGGCUCGCGUGACAUGAGCUCCUUGGAGUGGUAACGGCACACCAAGGAGACGAUGUCUAGGGGAUCUGAGAGGAUGACCCCCCACGCUGGGAGUGGGAAACGGCCCAGACUCCUACGGGAGGCAGCAGUAAGGAAGAUUGGUCAAUGGAGGCAACUCUGAGCCAGCCAUGCCGCGUGCAGGAAGACGGCCCUCUGGGUUGUAAACUGCUUUUGCCAGGGAAUAAACCCCAUUACGUGUAGUGGGCUGAAUGUACCUGGCGAAUAAGGGUCGGCUAACUCCGUGCCAGCAGCCGCCGUAACAC
rnacentral:rRNA from 1 species